CAGUCGCCGCGGUAACACGAAGGGUGCAAGCGUUAAUCGGAAUUACUGGGCGUAAAGCGUGCGUAGGCGGUUUGUUAAGUCUGUUGUGAAAUCCCCGGGCUCAACCUGGGAAUGGCAAUGGAUACUGGCAAGCUAGAGUGUGUCAGAGGAUGGUGGAAUUCCCGGUGUAGCGGUGAAAUGCGUAGAGAUCGGGAGGAACAUCAGUGGCGAAGGCGGCCAUCUGGGACAACACUGACGCUGAGGCACGAAAGCGUGGGGAGCAAACAGGAUUAGAUACCCGUGUAGUCCCUGUCUCUUAUAA
rnacentral:rRNA from 1 species